UACGAAGGGGGCUAGCGUUGCUCGGAAUCACUGGGCGUAAAGCGCACGUAGGCGGCUUCUUAAGUCAGGGGUGAAAUCCUGGAGCUCAACUCCAGAACUGCCUUUGAUACUGAGAAGCUUGAGUCCGGGAGAGGUGAGUGGAACUGCGAGUGUAGAGGUGAAAUUCGUAGAUAUUCGCAAGAACACCGAUGGCGAAGGCAGCCAUCUGGACCGACACUGACGCUGAGGCGCGAA
rnacentral:rRNA from 1 species